rnacentral:rRNA from 1 species
ACCUACGGGAGGCAGCAGUAGGGAAUCUUCCACAAUGGGCGAAAGCCUGAUGGAGCAACGCCGCGUGGGUGAAGAAGGCCUUCGGAUCGUAAAACCCUGUUGUUAGAGAAGAAAGUGCGUGAGAGUAACUGUUCACGUUUCGACGGUAUCUAACCAGAAAGCCACGGCUAACUACGUGCCAGCAGCCGCGGUAAUACGUAGGUGGCAAGCGUUAUCCGGAUUUAUUGGGCGUAAAGGGAACGCAGGCGGUCUUUUAAGUCUAAUGUGAAAGCCUUCGGCUUAACCGGAGUAGUGCAUUGGAAACU